CAGAGGCCUCGAGCGUUAGGCGGAAUCACUGGGCUUAAAGCGUGUGUAGGUGGAUGCCUAAGUACCUUGUGAAAUCCCACGGCUUAACCGUGGAAUGGCUGGGUAUACUGGGUGUCUUGAGCCACUCAGGGGCUACCGGAACAAAUGGUGGAGCGGUGAAAUGCGUAGAUAUCAUUUGGAACGCCAAUGGUGAAAACAGGUAGCUGGGGGUGUGCUGACACUGAGACACGAAAGCCAGGGGAGCAAACGGG
rnacentral:rRNA from 1 species